GCAUCGGUGGUUCAGUGGUAGAAUGCGUUGCCUUCCAAGCAGUUGAUCCGGGUUCGAUUCCCGGCCGAGUGCA